rnacentral:rRNA from 1 species
AUUGAACGCUGGCGGCAGGCCUAACACAUGCAAGUCGAACGAGUGGCGGACGGGUGAGUAAUGUCUGGGAAACUGCCUGCUGGAGGUGGAUAACUACUGGAAACGGUAGCUAAUACCGCAUACCAUCAGAUGUUCCCAGAUGGGAUUAGCUAGUUGGUGGGGUAACGGCUCACCAAGGCGACGAUCCCUAGCUGGUCUGAGAGGAUGACAGGCAACACUGGAACGGAGACACGGUCCAGACUCCUACGGGAGGAAGCAGUGGGGAAUAUUGCACAAUGGGCGCAAGCCGGAUGCAGCCAUGCCGCGUGUAGGAAGAAGGCCUGCGGGUUGUAAAGUACUUUCAGCGGGGAGGCGUUACCCGCAGAAGAAGCACCGGCUAACUCCGUGCCAGCAGCCGCGGUAAUAC